UCGUGAGCAGCAAAAGCACCACUGCGUUCAUCAAUGCAGCGAGGAUCUCGGUACGCAGAUAACCGUAAGUUUCUUUGCGGCGUUGGGGCCCUUUUGCGCGAAAUGGAUGGCAANNNNNNNNNCGUCCGUCGCCAUAUGCGCCGCAUCGGCGAUCAAAGCGAGGCUGCCGGUCACGAUACCACCUACGAUUUCGGCCCAUGUAAGGUUAAGGUCAGCGCCA
rnacentral:misc_RNA from 1 species